rnacentral:pre_miRNA from 1 species
AUCACCUGGGAAUCUUGUUAAAUGCAGAUUCUGAUUUAGCAUCUUUAGGCAGAGCCAAAGAUUCUGGUUUUCUGACAAGCUCCUAGGUGAUGUUGA